UCUUUCUUUGCUGGCGACCGGCGCACGGGUGAGUAACACGUAUCCAACCUGCCCUUUACUCGGGGAUAGCCUUUCGAAAGAAAGAUUAAUACCCGAUAGCAUAAUGAUUCCGCAUGGUUUCAUUAUUAAAGGAUUCCGGUAAAGGAUGGGGAUGCGUUCCAUUAGGUUGUUGGUGAGGUAACGGCCCACCGAGCCUUCGAUGGAUAGGGGUUCUGAGAGGAAGGUCCCCCACAUUGGAACUGAGACACGGUCCAA
rnacentral:rRNA from 1 species